GAUGAACGCUGGCGGCGUGCCUAAUACAUGCCAGUCGAGCGAACAGACGAGGAGCUUGCUCCUCUGACGUUAGCGGCGGACGGGUGAGUAACACGUGGAUAACCUACCUAUAAGACUGGGAUAACUUCGGGAAACCGGAGCUAAUACCGGAUAAUAUAUUGAACCGCAUGGUUCAAUAGUGAAAGACGGUUUUGCUGUCACUUAUAGAUGGAUCCGCGCCGCAUUAGCUAGUUGGUAAGGUAACGGCUUACCAAGGCAACGAUGCGUAGCCGACCUGAGAGGGUGAGCGGCCACACUGGAACUAAGACACGGUCCAGACUCCUACGGGAGGCAGCAGUAGGGAAUCUUCCGCAAUGGGCGAAAGCCUGACGGAGCAACGCCGCGUGAGUGAUGAAGGUCUUCGGAUCGUAAAACUCUGUUAUUAGGGAAGAACAAAUGUGUAAGUAACUAUGCACGUCUUGACGGUACCUAAUCAGAAAGCCACGGCUAACUACGU
rnacentral:rRNA from 1 species